UAACAAGGCGAAUGUACAACAGCAUCCGAGCAGCACCUAUGUUAUUCUCACUAAACUAAACACCCACUGUGCCUUAUUUUGGUGACUGGUGUUUUUGGAGGGGUUAGUUUUUUCACAACACAAUGUCCAUUAAAAUUGUUUACUUUGCAGACUCUCGUUGUAAUAACACGAUGCACAGAGUUAGUCAGACUUUGGACUCUGGCACAUUUUUCAACCAAAUAUAAUGAACCAAACGAUAAUGAAGAGUUGGACCUUUGCCAGUACAAGUCAAAGAAUCGUUUUAGUGGAAAACGCUCCAACAGUGUCCCGUCUGGAAGAGCAGAGUGUGUCUGAAAACGGAGGUAACAACAUCGCCCCAGAAGUAGGUUCCCGGAAAUGGCGGACGGACAUUAAUACAUAACUUCUCACAUAAUCACAUGGUGAUUAAUGCGCAACUCUAUUUUGCCAGUCCCGCCCACAUUGUAUACUAUUGCUUUCAUAUCUAAAGGCACAGAGGAGCAUAAAGAAACUGUUGUUUGUCAAUUAAAUGAAAGACUUAACAGAAAUGUAAAUGGACCCUGGGAUAUCGAACCUUCAAAUCAUGCAUUAUGCGAACGGUAUCGUCAACAUGUUUAGUUAAGGCCUAAAACUCGAAAUGGCUAAAUCUGUAAUAUAGCCCAAAUUAAAAAAUUGGCAGAGCUU